ensembl:rRNA RNA5SP526 RNA, 5S ribosomal pseudogene 526
GUCUAUGGCCAUACCAACCUGAACAUGCUGAUCUCAUCUGAUCUCAGAAUAAAAACAAAUUAGAAAAGAAGCUGAGUGCAGUGGCUC